CCAAUACCUGAACCAGAGGAUGAAGAAACAAGGAAGGCAAGAGAAAAAGAAAGAAGGAGGAGGUUGAAAAGAGGAGCGGAAGAAGAAGAGGAAAUUGAUGCAGAGGAAUUGGAAAGACUGAAGGCAGAGUUAGAUGAAAAGAGACAAAUAAUUGCGACAGUUAAAUGCAAACCUUGGAAGAUGGAGAAGAAAAUUGAAGUUCUCAAGUAUGUUGCUACUUUUCAUAUGUAUAAACACUUUCCCUGUUAUUGAUCUCCU
rnacentral:lncRNA from 1 species